rnacentral:rRNA from 1 species
CCUACGGGGGGCAGCAGUAGGGAAUCUUCCACAAUGGACGAAAGUCUGAUGGAGCAACGCCGCGUGAGUGAAGAAGGGUUUCGGCUCGUAAAGCUCUGUUGGUAGUGAAGAAAGAUAGAGGUAGUAACUGGCCUUUAUUUGACGGUACUUACUUAGAAAGUCACGGCUAACUACGUGCCAGCAGCCGCGGUAAUACGUAGGUGGCAAGCGUUGUCCGGUUUUAUUGGGCGUAAAGCGAGUGUAGGCGGUUUAAUAAGUCUGAUGUGAAAGCCGCCGGCUCAACCGGGGAAUGGCAUCAGAAACUGUGGGACUUGAGUGCAGAAGAGGGAAGUGGAACUCGAUGUGUAGCGGUGGAAUGCGUAGAUAUAUGGAAGAACACCAGUGGCGAAGGCGGCUUUCUGGUCUGUAACUGACGCUGAGGCACGAAAGCAAGGGUAGCGAACAGGAUUAGAUACCCCGGUAGUC